GAUGAACGCUGGCGGCGUGCCUAAUACAUGCAAGUCGAGCGAACAGACGAGGAGCUUGCUCCUCUGACGUUAGCGGCGGACGGGUGAGUAACACGUGGAUAACCUACCUAUAAGACUGGGAUAACUUCGGGAAACCGGAGCUAAUACCGGAUAAUAUAUUGAACCGCAUGGUUCAAUAGUGAAAGACGGUUUUGCUGUCACUUAUCGAUGGAUCCGCGCCGCAUUAGCUAGUUGUUAAGGUAACGGCUUAUCAAGGCAACGAUGCGUAGCCGACCUGAGAGGGUGAUCGGCCACACUGGAACUGAGACACGGACCAGACUCCUACGGGAGGCAGCAGUAGGGAAUCUUCCGCAAUGGGCGAAAGCCUGACGGAGCAACGCCGCGUGAGUGAUGAAGGUCUUCGGAUCGUAAAACUCUGUUAUUAGGGAAGAACAAAUGUGUAAGUAAAUAUGCACGUCUUGACGGUACCUAAUCAGAAAGCAACGGCUAACUACGUG
rnacentral:rRNA from 1 species